GACCUUUUCAGCGCGUCGGGGAGACCUUAUAUUGGGUGUGCUGCUUUAUGCAGCUAUGGAAAUAAAUGGGCGGUGAAAUAAACCAUUCGGACCCGGGGGCGGUACCCGGCGCCUCCACCAUAACCUAAUCUGGCAGUUUUUGAUCAGAUUAUGAUGGGGGCGAAAUAGGAUCGACGAGGGCGUAAAGAUCGUACUUUUUCUCGGCAUUGUACCACCGUUAUCGGACUAACUUUGUAGUUGCAAAUGAUAACAACUAUGCGGAAGCACGUCUCGCUGCUUAAUGCGGUGCGAUAGCUUCACAUGAACUCCUAGUUGUUCGCACGACUAGGCGGGGUUCGAAGGCACCUGGCAACAGAAGCCUUCACU
rnacentral:tmRNA from 1 species